AUUGAACGCUGGCGGCAGGCCUAACACAUGCAAGUCGAGCGAGCGGCGGACGGGUGAGUAAUGUAUGGGGACUGCCCGAUAGAGGGGGAUAACUACUGGAAACGGUAGCUAAUACCGCAUACUAUCGGAUAACCCAUAUGGGAUUAGCUAGUAGGUGAGGUAAUGUCUCACCUAGGCGACGAUCACUAGCUGGUCUGAGAGGAUGAUCAGCCACACGUGGACUGAGACACUGCCCAAACUCCUACGGAGGCAGCAGUGGGGAAUAUGGCACGAUGGGCGCAAGCCGUAUGCAGCCAUGCGGCGUGUAUGAAGAAGGCCCUAGGGUUGUAAAGUACUUUCAGUCGGGAGGCGUUACCGACAGAAGAAGCACCGGCUAACUCCGUGCGAGCAGCCGCGGUAAUUC
rnacentral:rRNA from 1 species